rnacentral:tRNA from 1 species
GAUAGCUCAGCGGUAGAGCAGUUGACUGUUAAUCAAUUGGUCGCAGGUUCGAUCCCUGCUC